CAGACCUGGGACCUACAUCUGCUUCCCCUGAGGAAAUGACCUCAUUCUUGAUGGCUGCUGCUAACUUAUGGUGAGAUGCUGGGUCCCUGCCCAAUACCACAUGGACAUCCAAUCAAUUUACCCAGGGACAAGUCCACUCAAGAGCAUCAUUUAGAAGAGGGAAAAGGCACUGGGGUUAUUUGUUUUUGGAGUAUGUGCUUAAGGAAAUCUAGAGUAUUCCCACGAGCAUUCUGCUGAGAUGAACAAUCAGAUGACCUCGUGUGAGAUUUGGAGGAGAGAAGGAAAUGGAGAGCAUGCGUCUGCCGCUUCUGUGGUUUCUGUCGGUAAGCACAGUGAUGAGGUGCUGAGUUUUCCCCAGAAGGCCUCCCAGUGUCCUAUUACCAGCUUCACAAGCGUCGAGGGCAGGGCAUGGGCAUCUAUUGUUCACCAGUGGAGAUCUAUCUGGCACAGAACCGAUCCAACCAUUGCAGUGGUCACAGCGGUGUUGGCUUUCUGAUUCUCAACCUUCCUGACCGCCAGAGGAGACAGCCUCUUUGGUGGCCCUGUUCUGUGGUAUUGUGCUAACCGGUGGUGGGACUAAAACUGUCUCUAUAAUGUUUUAUUUCUUAAAAAAAAAUUCUGAAGCAAAUGUGACAAUAUGUUAACAUUCUUAAAAUCUGGGUAGUGGGAACAUGGAUGUUGUUAUUUGUGGUGUGUUUGAAAUUGUGUCAUAUUAUAAAUUUUAAAAAAA
rnacentral:lncRNA from 10 species